rnacentral:SRP_RNA from 10 species
UCUAGAUAAUUGGAGUGAAAAUAUCUUCCAGCCUCACCUGAGGCAGGAGGAUCACUUGAGUCCAGGAGUUCUUGGCUAUAGCAUUAUGCAAGUUGAGCUUCUGCACUAAGUUUGGCAUCAAUAUGGUGAACUCCCAGGAGUGGGGGACCACCAAGUUGCACAAGGUGAGAUGAACCAGCCCAGGUUGGAAAUGGAGUAGGUCAAAACUCCCAAGUUGAUCAGUAGUGGGAUGGUGCCUGUGAAUAGCUACUGCACUCCAGCCUGAGCAACAUAGCAAGAUC